CGGGAAUAUUGGACAAUGGGCGAAAGCCUGAUCCAGCCAUCCCGCGUGAGUGAUGAAGGCUCUCGGGUCGUAAAGCUCUGUGGAGAGAGACGAAACCUUGAAGGAACAAUACCCUUCAAGCUGACGGUAUCUC
rnacentral:rRNA from 1 species